GGAGUUUGGACCGUGUCUCAGUUCCAAUGUGGGGGACCUUCCUCUCAGAACCCCUACUGAUCGUAGCCUUGGUGGGCCGUUACCCCGCCAACAAGCUAAUCAGACGCAUCCCCAUCCCAUAGCGAUAAAUCUUUGGUAUUACUCAGAUGUCCUCAUAAUACAACAUAGGGCAUUAAUCCGACUUUCGCCGGGCUAUUCCCUACUAUGGGGAAGGUUGGAUACGCGUUACUCACCCGUGCGUCGGUCGCCAUCAAAGUUUGCAAGCAAACUUCAUGCUGCCCUCGACUUGCAUGUGUUAAGCCUGUAGCUAGCGUUCAUC
rnacentral:rRNA from 1 species